rnacentral:misc_RNA from 1 species
UACGGGGGGGGCAAGCGUUGUUCGGAUUUACUGGGCGUAAAGGGCGCGUAGGCGGUUCGCUAAGUCGGAUGUGAAAACUAUGGGCUCAACCCAUAGCCUGCAUCCGAUACUGGCGGACUAGAGUGCGAGAGGGGAAAGCGGAAUUCCUGGUGUAGCGGUGAAAUGCGUAGAUAUCAGGAGGAACACCGGUGGCGAAGGCGGCUUUCUGGAUCGCAACUGACGCUGAGGCGCGAAAGCUAGGGGAGCAAACAGG